UAGGCUUGACAUGCUAGUUAAAGCGGGUGAAAGCCCGUGUCCGUAAGGGGCUAGCACAGGUGCUGCAUGGCUGUCGUCAGCUCGUGCCGUGAGGUGUUGGCUUAAGUGCCGCAACGAGCGCAACCCCUAUCUUUAGUUGCCAGCACGUAAUGGUGGGGACUCUAAAGAGACUGCCGGGGACAACUCGGAGGAAGGUGGGGAUGACGUCAGCCUAUCGAGA
rnacentral:misc_RNA from 1 species